ACGGGUGAGUAACGCGUGGGAAUCUACCCAUCUCUACGGAAUAACGCAUGGAAACGUGUGCUAAUACCGUAUACGUCCUUCGGGAGAAAGAUUUAUCGGAGAUGGAUGAGCCCGCGUUGGAUUAGCUAGUUGGUGGGGUAAAGGCCUACCAAGGCGACAAUCCAUAGCUGGUCUGAGAGGAUGAUCAGCCACACUGGGACUGAGACACGGCCCAGACUCCUACGGGAGGCAGCAGUGGGGAAUAUUGGACAAUGGGCGCAAGCCUGAUCCAGCCAUGCCGCGUGAGUGAUGAAGGCCCUAGGGUUGUAAAGCUCUUUCACCGGUGAAGAUAAUGACGGUAACCGGAGAAGAAGCCCCGGCUAACUUCGUGCCAGCAGCCGCGGUAAUACGAAGGGGGCUAGCGUUGUUCGGAUUUACUGGGCGUAAAGCGCACGUAGGCGGACUAUUAAGUCAGGGGUGAAAUCCCGGGGCUCAACCCCGGAACUGCCUUUGAUACUGGUAGUCUUGAGUUCGAGAGAGGUGAGUGGAAUUCCGAGUGUAGAGGUGAAAUUCGUAGA
rnacentral:rRNA from 1 species